UACGGAGGGGGCAAGCGUUGUUCGGAUUUACUGGGCGUAAAGGGUCCGUAGGCGGUUGUGUAAGUCUGGUGUGAAAUCUUCGCCGCUUAACGGGAAGCAGCCACUGGAAACUGCAUAACUUGAGUCUGGUAGAGGCAAGCGGAAUUCCUGGUGUAGCGGUGGAAUGUGUAGAUAUCAGGAGGAACACCAAUGGCGAAGGCAGCUCGCUGGGACGUGACUGACGCUGAGACGCGAAAGCGUGGGGAGCAAACAGG
rnacentral:rRNA from 1 species